rnacentral:rRNA from 1 species
UACGUAGGGACCGAGCGUUAUCCGGAUUCAUUGGGCGUAAAGAGCUCGUAGGCGGCUAUUCAAGUCGAAUGUGAAAUCUCGGGGCUCAACUCCGAGCCUGCGUUCGAUACUGGGUAGCUAGAGUCUGGUAGGGGGAUCUGGAAUUCCUGGUGUAGCGGUGGAAUGCGCAGAUAUCAGGAGGAACACCGGUGGCGAAGGCGGGAUCCUGGGCCAGUACUGACGCUGAGGAGCGAAAGCGUGGGGAGCAAACAGG